CAACUACUCCCUCUGUCCCAAAUUUCUUGUUUUAGAUUUGUCUAGAUACGGAUGUAUCUAAUACUAAAAUGUGACUUGAUACAUUUGUAUCUAGAAAAAUCUAAGACAAGAAUUUUGGGACGGAGGGAGUACUUU
rnacentral:pre_miRNA from 1 species